GAUGAACGCUGGCGGCGUGCCUAACACAUGCAAGUCGAGCGAUUCUCUUCGGAGAAGAGCGGCGGACGGGUGAGUAACGCGUGGGUAACCUGCCCUGUACACACGGAUAACAUACCGAAAGGUAUGCUAAUACGAGAUAAUAUACUUUUAUCGCAUGGUAGAAGUAUCAAAGCUCCGGCGGUAUAGGAUGGACCCGCGUCUGAUUAGCUAGUUGGUAAGGUAACGGCUUACCAAGGCGACGAUCAGUAGCCGACCUGAGAGGGUGAUCGGCCACAUUGGAACUGAGACACGGUCCAAACUCCUACGGGAGGCAGCAGUGGGGAAUAUUGCACAAUGGGCGACAGCCUGAUGCAGCAACGCCGCGUGAGCGAUGAAGGCCUUCGGGUCGUAAAGCUCUGUCCUCAAGGAAGAUAAUGACGGUCCUUGAGGAGGAAGCCCCGGCUAACUAC
rnacentral:rRNA from 1 species